rnacentral:rRNA from 1 species
UUGGAGGGCAAGUCUGGUGCCAGCAGCCGCGGUAAUUCCAGCUCCAAUAGCGUAUAUUAAAGUUGUUGCAGUUAAAAAGCUCGUAGUUGAAUUUCGGGAUCAAUGUUUCGGUCAUGCCGUUGGUAUGUACUGAUAUUAUUGGUUUCUCACCUUCUAAAGAACCGUAAUGCCAUUAAUUUGGUGUCACGGGGAAUUAGGACUGUUACCUUGAAAAAAUUAGAGUGUUUAAAGCAGGCUCACGCUUGAAUACAUUAGCAUGGAAUAAUGAAAUAGGACAUCCGAUUCUAUUUUGUUGGUUUCUAGGAUCGAUGUAAUGAUUAAUAGGGAUAGUUGGGGGCAUUAGUAUUCAAUUGUCAGAGGUGAAAUUCUUGGAUUUAUUGAAGACUAACUACUGCGAAAGCAUUUGCCAAGGAUGUUUUCAUUAAUCAAGAACGAAAGUUAGGGGAUCGAAGACGAUCAGAUACCGUCGCAGUCUUAACCAUAAACUAUGCCGACUAGGGAUCGGAUGAUGUUAAUUUUUUAAUGACUCAUUCGGCGCCUUACGGGAAAC